ACGGUGGGCGUUGUGCGUGGCAUUGGAUGCCCUUACCGAUUCGUUUCCCCCCUGGAACAGAAAACACAGCGCCACCACGCGGGAGUUCGCGAAGAGACGAGUGAAGAAGGCGCGGCCUCGACGGCGGCGCCGCAGAUUGAUUCUAUCUGUGCUUGACCAUCCAGUGGGUUGAGGAUUUUGACUGAUCCAGUGGCAGCCCGCUCUCCUCACGGCCCCUCUUUCGCAGCCCUCCUUUCUUAAUGGCUCCGGUUAUUGAUAAAAGGGCGGAGUUAGACACUGCUGUUGCUGGUUUCAGUGCUUCUCUCGCUCAAGUUGUGUCCAUCACACCUAGCGGGACACCUGGAGCACCAGAAUACAGAUACAGGGUGGGCUUUGUUGUCUUUGCACCAGCAGGGAGAGGGGAGGUUUUUGUCUGUGUCUCGAAAAAAUCGCUCGUUUCUACAAAACUUAAAAAGAAGGCUUCUUUUGGUGUACGAUUCUAUAAUCAUGGACACAAGGGUCCUGCUACUUUCCAUUCAAACCAUUUGGAUUACCUUAUUUUAAAGGUAUCAGUCCAAGAGCACGUUCCUGCGGUUGCAUUUGGUGAUGUUGUUAGAAGCUCUGAGCUUAUCCUAAUAUGCAAAGACAAAGCCGACGAGUGGAAUACUUACAGUACAACAGUAAUUAUCCCACAGAAUGAUGCUUGUGCAUUCGACGGGGGUAGGCCACCUUCUGUUGCUCUUAGUGAAGACUUUUUCACCAUGGGCUUCCCUGUUCUCCCUGCCCUUGGUUUCGACAAAAUCGAUGGUGCUCCAGUAUUUGAUAUGCAUGGACUUUUUGUGGGAUUAGUACACUCCUUUGCCACAGUGAGUAGGGACAACACACUAAACGAUGUGGUGUUUGUACGCCGUGCCGUAAGAUUUGGUGUGCCGGAAUGUAUGAGGGUAUGAUGGAAGGGCAAGCUGUGUAACUCCAAGUUAUGGAUAAGGAUAAUCUUAUAAUAGCCUUUGCAGAGAGUUCUUUUCUAACAGCAAGGAGCUUCUCGAUUUCACCAGGAAGAUGCACAACCCUCAAAGGCUCAUUUGAUCCAACUUCAGCUUCAAGCUUCCCUUGUCAACAUGCGCGCUGAUAUAAGCUUCUUUCUUGUCAUUAAUCUCUACGAUGAUCAUGUUCAGUGAUACCGGUGACUGCUGAUGCGGCUCCUUUCUGCUAAGAUUAAUAGAUAAUGCCUAGCUUUGCAGAGAGCUUAUUUGGCAUUAGUUUUAGUUAAUGCUUUUGUUAGAAAGACUCGUAUAGUGCUUAAUUGUUGGUGUACAUGAGCUUAUGCGUGCAAUUUUGCUUGGAAGUGGCGUGGCUGCGUGAGAGAUUAUUUUGGUUAAUGCUUUUAUUAGGAAGACUUCUAUAACGCUUAUGAACAUUGCUGUUAGAAAUCUGUUAUUUGGUUCUUCAAAGUACUUUAAUUA